rnacentral:lncRNA from 1 species
UUGACGGUUUUCUUCUUAUGAUAUACAUUAAUCACUCCUAAUACAUACAUAUAAUAACAUAAUAGUCUAUUUUUACAUCUUAGAUGAAUACCCCCAUGAUUCCCAUUACUGCCUCACAUACGUAACACAAUACAAACUAAUUAUAAGGCGAAAUUGUUGUCAUCAUCUUCAGCCAUUGAAAUACAUGUUGUGAGUUUUGUCGGUCAAUGCUACUACUCACUGUACUUUUUAUUUGCGAUAAAAUCAAACUUUGAUUAAUCAUCUCCAACCGUUACAACCCUGAUCAGCAGCUCUGAAACAGAUUCCUUCUUUCAUAUUCAUCGCGAAUGUGUCCAUGUUAAGCCAACUCAAGACAAUCGCUUUAACCUGCACAACAAUAUUCCUACUCACUGUACUAUGCUGUAUAGAACUACUGAGUACCGUACCCUUUAUCAGCCAUCACAUUUUGCCAGUGAAGGAAGAUAUAUAUUUGUUCAUCUUUGAUUUUUCCUUGAAUUUAUUAUAAAACAAUGGUUUAAAAAACUGAUCAAUUAUAUCAUAAUUAAGUCUGUUACAUAGUCUAAUAAACCUUUUGGAAGACAACCCAUUUAGCUAAUUCAUGACUGCAGUGGGUAUGACCGAAGGUAGCGACAGGGACGAAGACAACAAUGGUGCAGUCCCUAAUUAUCAUUUCAAAGCAUGUUUUACAAAUAAACUUAGGAACAAAACAUCCGCCACUGACGUCGCUCUGGUAAUGGUCAAAGUGAAAAACAUAAAAGGAUUGUUGAGCUCCUCUGAGGUAAUUGUCGUAUAUUUGAGCUGCUCGCACCAGGUUACCAGGAUUACUGAUGGACACUCUAUUGCUAGAUGAAAAGUACCUUUAACUUUGGAUUGAAAGGAAGCAGAGUUCCUUUUUUGAGCAAGUCAAUAGUUUAUCUUCUUUCGUACGAAUAUUUAAACUAUUUUGUCCUACAUUUAAUAGACACUUGUAUCAUCUCUUAUUUGUCAGAGUUAUAUCGUAAUUAAUUAGACUAAGAAAAUUUUACAAAUAAAACUAACUUGUUUAGCUAGUGUUGAUUUAUUAGAGGUUAAUAUUCUUUCAUACAAUUUAUCCACACAGUCAUUUUUUCUUUGGCAUUGCUUCUUUGCAAUUGGUACAACAGUUUCAAAAUUUAAGUUUUAAUAAAAUAUUAUAAAUCAAACUUACUUGUUUAGCGCAAAUUUCUUAGGGCUGAUAGUCUUUCAUUGAAUUAUCUUUCUCAUUGUUUUCGCUAACCUUCAGAAUGCUUAGAUACUCCUUCAUUUGCUUUGCACACACGUUCCAUCAAAUUCUUUUCAAUCAUUUCCUUUAAUCUAAAAAAAAAAAAUUAAAAAAAUUAAAAUUCUAGUAGAGAAAAGGGACAAUAUCAACCAAAUAAGAAAGGAUGAAUUUUUUGUUAGUUUUUAGGUAUCUUUCUUCAAUUUACUUACUCUCUGGGCAACAGCUUUUGGUAUGAAAAGCAUGAUGAGCUCAGGGUGAGAUCUAGCCUAUUUGAAUCAAUAGUUUCAUAAUCUCAAUGUUUUCCCACGUCAGAAAUAUUUUCCAUGGGUCUCCCCACUGCGAGGUUUCUCUAUUUCCUUCCCACAUUGGCACUUUAGAAAGCGGUUGGAAUCAUCUGACCAUUAAAUUUGAUAUUUGAGUAGUUCGACUUGAGCUAAAUUUGAUCGAUCAAUUUGGUGUGACCGAUUGAACGUCUAAUUCAGCCUUGAGGAAUCAAUGGUCUAAUUACUGAAAAUGACAAUAAUGUUUAGGACAAUUUUCAUUUUUAACAACGUGUUUCAUUUCAUGACACAAACGUUUGUUUUUAUUUCACCCGAUAACAAUAUCGUUUUCCUUCGGUGUCUAAGUCCGGUAACCCAGCUGAUGUGGGAUGGAAGAAGCUGACAUGUCAUUAAAAUAAUAAAACAUAAUCAAAGUAAACACAUAUUUAAGAAAACAAACUUCAUUCCAUUGAUAACAUGUUAGAGAUCUUCAGCAUUACAAACCAAAAAAAAAAAAAAAUACAUCUUCUUCGUCAUGAUAUAAGCUUGUUCUUCUUUACUUCUAGAAAAUAAACAUGAAAAUAAAAAACAAUAUUAAAGCAAAAUACAUUUUCUUUAUUUUUUCUAUUUUUUCAAUUCAAGAGUCUCGACAUUCUUCACCUCCAAUCCCUUCAUCAACUUCCAGUUCUUCUUCUUUAAUAUUGUUACCCUGCAUUCCAAGUCUUCAUUUUUGUGUUGAAAGUAUUCUAGCUUCCUCUCCGUCCUCAAUGAUGUCGUUGGUGGGUCAAUCCAGCGAAAAUAAUUACAAUUGUUUGAUGGGUAUUUCAAACAUCCAUAAAAUCUCCUUCCAGGAUUAUCAGGGGUCGAAGAAGUCUUGAUUGCAACUUCUUCUCCACACUUACAUGUAGGGGUAUGGGAGUUAAUUGAAGAAGAAGACAUAAUUUAGCUUAUAGGGUUUCAAAUUAGCUUCUAGGGUUUUGGAAAAUGUUGGGGAAGAAGAUAGGAGCUCGAUGGAAGAGGAUUGAUAUUUAAUAAAAUAUAUCACGUGAUCUGCACGCGUCUACAAUAGUAAUAUUUUGAUGACAUGGAAAAUAUAAAUAUUAUUUUAAUAACAGGUCAACAUCUGUUAUGCCACAUCAAUUGGGUCACCGGACUCAGGCACCGGAAUAAAACUAUAUUGUUAUUGGGUGAAAUAAAACCAAAUGUUUGUGUCAUGAAGUGAAACACGUUGUUAAUGAAAAUUGUCCUAAACGUUAGUCAUUUUCAGUAAUUAGACCAGGAAUCAAUUAUUGAUUGAUAGCUAAUUACACAGUAGUCCAAAGUAGUGCCUACAGACAAACAACAAAUAGUAUGGAAAGACAUGCCCUUUUUCAUUUAUUACUCUGGAUAUAUGAUUCCAAGUCCUUUUAGUUGCAUUCUCCAUAAGUUCCUACAAUUUUUAUCAUCGAUUUACUUGUCGUAUGACAUAUCCAACUUCAUUUGGAAAUAUCUAGCUUCCAAUGACUUCACUUCAUUUUGGAAUUGUGUUAUCCAACUUUGCAUGACUAUAUACAUUUUCCUAUCGGUUUUUAAAUCUCUAGAAUACUUGGUGAAUCCCUUCUUAUUUGAGUUCUUAUAGAAUCUUCUCGUGCUCGACCUCUAUGAUCGAUAAUGAGAAACAAACAUUAUGAAAUCAAAUUAAGUCUAAUAUACCCAUAAACAUAUGGCGAACAGGAUUUUGAACAAUAGGCAAUCAUUACUGAAUGUCCAAACACCCAGAGACAUUAUAUACAUGAAAGACGCACAUUUGUAUGAUAUGGCACACAUUCUAUUAAUUUAGAAUAGAUGUGGUUGACUGUUGUGCAUACCUUAUUGAGCAAGUUUAUUGCUAUAAUGGGGCACGUCUUCACUCCUUUGAAUAAAAGUCUGAAAUCAAGCCUGUAAUAACAAAAUACAUAAUCUAUAUAAAAACAAAUUUUUGCGGAAGUUUUAUAAUGCUUUUUUGCCUCAUAUACAGUACGCUGAAGGAACAUGGCCUAACUUAAGUAGAAAGGACUAAGUGGUCUUAUGGGGGCUUAAGCUGAAUUGUUCCAGUUUUGAUGAUAUGCUCACUGAGCUCUUUUUCCUGACUCUAGGUAACCUUUUUUUUUAUCUUUCAUUGUUAUUUUAUUCCAUUGAAAUAUUAUUUCCAACUUAUAGCAGCAAAAUACAGUUUUUAAAUCUGUGAUUUCUGGCUAUCACAUGCAAUCAAUCUCUACACUUAAUACAUAUUGUAAGAUUUAAAAUUCUGUCGAGAAGAUUCUAGCUAUCCUCAGCUAUUUUUUAUAGUAUCUCCAACAGGCUUGUCUCUAGAUCCAUUAUUUUCCCCAGCUUAUGUGAUUCAUAAUAAACAACCAUACAUAGUACUUAUACAAUGACUUGUAUAAUGUAUACACAAUGAGCACAAACCCAUUUUCUUCCCUACACGGUGCCAUACUCUUUGUAUAACUAUAUUCAUUUCAAUCACAUUGACUGACAAUGACGAAGGAUUCAGUGAUUUAGGACGACAGUCUUUGUAUAGUUGAGAUCAUAGGGGAAAAGCUUUGCCAUGCCCUCUAGUCUAGUUUAAGUUCAGACUUUACUCCCAGAGUCCCAGGUUAAAAAUCUUAAACAGAUGAUUUUCCCAAAGUUUAUUCAGUAGAAAAAGAAUUCAUGAAAUAAGUGUGGAUGAUAAAUGUAACAUUUAUCAUAUUAACAUCUGAAUACUCCCCAAAUCAUCCUUAUAGUAAAUAUUGUAAGCAAAGCUUGUGUCAAUAUUUUAUGUGAGAGUUGUAGCAUAUUGAACCAACAAUCCUCCCUAUUGAUGUCUCCAACAUCUAUGUCAAUUGUACUCUUAUGAAAAGGAUUCUUAAGAAAUUAUUAAUGUUUCAAAGCAAUUAAUGAAAAAUAUAUUUGGCAAAUUAAAUGUUUAUUGUAGUAUACUCUUAUGGAUGAAUGUUUUACUGAAAUCAAAUUCAGGGUAGUAACACUGACUCAUAGAAAUGGCAAACCACAAAAAGCUAGAUCAGUUAAAGCUCACCGUUUGAGGAAUCCAACUGUUUGAUAUGUGUGCAGGGACAUAAUAUUGGUCAUAUUCUAUUAACCGACUUCUUUAUAUAAGACUACUAAAAUUAAAAGAUAAUUUCCAGGAUUUAUAAUGAGGAAUCGAGUCAACAAACCUAUCCAAAUUUUAAGUAUCCAUCUCCUAUUCAAAAGACGUGUCCUUCAAUAAUGUCUUAAGCCUCACAAAUAAAUUGUGUACAGUAAAAGAAAGACUUGCAAUACAAAUUUGAUAAAAUACUUGAAGGGACCUAGAAACCAAACAUACCUAGGUGGUGGAUUCUUUGACAUUAGCGAGAAGACAAUUGAUAAUUUGAAAUGGUACCUGAAAGGCAACUGAAAUUAGAUACUGAAAACCAUAACUAGAAUUUCCAGAUAAAAUAUGAUUAAAAAGAUUUGAUAAAAACUGCGCAAAAUUAACUAUACGCAAUAGGCAAUUUUUUUUUAAAAAGUAAUCAACGAAAAAAUCAAAUAACUUUGCAAAUUACAAAAACAAUUUUCAAUAGGUUUGCAAGGAUGAUAAAUAGUGUGGAGAUUGCACUCAAACCUCCACUUGUUGUUAGCUUAAGUUUUAAAACCUAAAUAUCAUAGAGGAAGUGAUAUUUUAUAAGAAGAACAUAAGCCAAGAAGUUCAUGGGAUGGGCUAGAAGGUAUACAUGCUCUUAAAGACAAAUGAGGGUAGGAUAGUGUACGAAACUUAAUAUUUGGAGAGACCCUUGGCUGUCCACAAAACCCCUAGCCACAGAUUAUCAAUAUUUGAUAACCGCAGAAAAGCAAAACUGGACUGUCAGUCAUAUAAUUCAACAACGACAUUGGAGCACUAAUGCAUUGUAUAAAUUAUUUUCACCCCAACUGGUUCAAACUAUAUUGGGUAUUCCAUUACCCUUAAGAAACACCUCUGAGGAAGCUUUGGUACGGCCACAUCACCAAUCAGGAAAGUAACAGUCAAAACAAUGUACCAAUGGCUAGCUGACUCAAAGUUUCAGCAAUAUGCUCUCUCAUCUCUGUGCAGAAAUUGUGGAGGUUUAAAUGCCCACCAAAAAUAAAACAUUUUUUGUGGUCUCUUAUACAUGGAAAUACACCAACAAAAGUGUUGUUGCAGCAGAAGCUACCAGAAACGGAGAACACAUGUUCUUUAUGUAAUGGACAGCUAGAAGAUAUUAAUCAUCUAUUUCUACAAUGUUCUGCUACUGGUGUUGUUCUGAACUAAUUCAGAAAAGAUAUAAUAUCCAGAUAUAAUACUCCCCAAAUCAUCCUUAUAGUAAAUAUUGUAAGCAAAGCUUGAUGUCAAUAUUUUAUGUGAGAAUUGUAGCAAAUUGAACCAACAAUCCUCCCUUCUGAGGUGGUUCAGUUGUCUCCAACAUCUCAUGUCAAUUGUACUCUUAUGAGAAGGAUUCUUAAGAAAUUAUUAAUGUUUCAGCAAUUAAUGGAAAAUAUAUUUGGCAAAUUAAAUGUUUAUUGUAGUAUACUCUUAUGGAUGAAUGUUUUACUGAAAUCAAAUUCAGGGUAGUUAUUGCGAUUCAUUGAGUUCAUCCAUAAACAAAUUUAAAAAAAUUAAUUUUAAGGAAUCACAUAUUUUACCAAAUUUGGACAGGUUAUGAACGAUUGUUCCUCAAUUAAAAGAUAAUCUUUUGGAAAUGGUAAUAAAAAACAGUUUAAGAAUUCAAUUUCUUAAAACCAGUUUUGAAAUCAAUUACUGGUUAUUCAUUCAACAGCCAAUAAUAGAUGAUGGGCCUCCUAACGUGUGAAUUCAUCCAAUAAUAAAAUCAAUUUCUACUUUUAAGAAAUUGAUUAAGGGUAAAGAAGAUGAUAACAACAUAAAAUUGAAGAUGAUAACAACAUACCUUGAAGGUGGAAAUCGAAGAAGAUGAUGAAGUAGUGAGAACUCCAACCCUAUUUAUUGUGCAAGCUCCAAUCUCCAAUCUGCCCCUGCAACAAUCAACAUCUUCAUUGCAGUUUCAUCCCCUAGUUAACAUGCUUUCCCUAUUAGGCACAUCCUUUUAUUCAAACUAAUCAAUGAGUAAAUUUGUGAAUGUGACAAUAUUAUGCAGAUUAUGUUAAAUGCCAAUACUACACUAAGAACAUGAAGAUGCUGGAGGAAGGGUUUGAACCUUCGCCUUGUGCUUUAGGAAUCACACACUCUAACCAACUGAGCU